rnacentral:rRNA from 1 species
AUUGAACGCUGGCGGCAUGCCUUACACAUGCAAGUCGAACGGCAGCGGACCUUCGGGUGCCGGCGAGUGGCGAACGGGUGAGUAAUAUAUCGGAACGUACCUUUCAGUGGGGGAUAACGUAGCGAAAGUUACGCUAAUACCGCAUAUUCUGCGAGCAGGAAAGCAGGGGAUCGCAAGACCUUGCGCUGAUUGAGCGGCCGAUAUCAGAUUAGCUAGUUGGUGAGGUAAAGGCUCACCAAGGCGACGAUCUGUAGCGGGUCUGAGAGGAUGAUCCGCCACACUGGAACUGAGACACGGUCCAGACUCCUACGGGAGGCAGCAGUGGGGAAUUUUGGACAAUAGGGCGGCAAGACCUCGAUCCACGCAUGCCGCCGUGAGU